rnacentral:lncRNA from 1 species
AGGUUAUUUCUGUACUUCUUCAAAAUGAGAUUCUCAGACAGGAGAAUCAAGCUUCAGGUUCAAAUGGCGACUCGACUUUGGCCGACUUUGGCGGUGACUGGAGGUUGUGGUGGUAGAGAAUGAAGGGGCAGAGGAUCGCAAGAUGGGCGGUUCAGAUCCAAGUCAAAGGACUACAGCAAGAUCAGGUGCUACAAGUGUGAUGAGUUGGGACAUCGAGUUAGAAAUUGCCCACAGCUCAGAGAUUGGAUGAAGGCUACUACGCUAGCAAUCCAAGAUAGUGAUAUAGAAGAAAGUGAUGAUAUUCUUCUAGUGUCUGAUGAGGUAUUUACUUCUUUUCUACAAUGAAUUUUAGAUUCUGCAUGUUUGCAUUAUAUUUAUUGUAAAGAAGAGCUGUUCGACUUCCUAGAGAGCAGUGAGAGCACUGUUCAUCUGUCAAAUGGAUUCAGCUGUGCGAUCAAGAGUAUUGAACUGUCAGCUUACAGACUCAUGAUAAAGCAAU